UCUCUCUCUCUCUCUCUCCCUUUUAGAACCCAAAAAGAAAAACAGAAAACACAAGCUGUACCGCUUUACAGGAUAAUCUCAAUCAUCUUCUAAAUUUAUAAGGACAGCUUUGAACUAUAUGGUUGCAUCCAAAGUUGUUAAAUUUUAUGCAAAGGAGGUGGCAAGAAGAGUUUAGAGAAUAUGUAUACAUUGAAAGAGAAAGUCUCAAAUCAGCUCUCUCGUUUCUUUGCUGAAUCUCAAAAUUCUUCUUCUCCUCUUCCUUCCCCUUGUUCAUCAGCCGAUACUUCUCAGGCCGUUCUCUGACGGGGGUAAAUCAUUUUCUUCAUAUUUUCACUUCACUGUCCCUUCAUUAAACUUUGGUGGGUCUAGAUCAAACAAACACCAACAUGAGUUAAAGCCAAUUCAUUCACGGCCUUUUAGAUGGGGUAGUAAAGGUUUGAAACAGGAAGAUGAACACUCAGUUAGAUAUCAUGAAUGCAACACAGUUUCUGAGGAUGAGAACUUAAAAAAUUAUUGUGAAGACAGUAAAGAAAGCAUUGAAGUUAGUGUCAACAAACAAACAGAUAAAACACUUGACAGCAAUGAUGUCGGUGCCUCUGGAAGGAGCAGUAGUGAUAGUGAUGUAUUUGAGGAAGCGCGAGAACAGCAGACUCCACGGAGCCCAGUAUUCCAUCUCAUGAACGAGUCAUCUUUUAUUUCCUCGGAAUUGUACGACUUCUUGCAUUCAUCCCUUCCUAAUAUAGUGAAGGGAUGCCAAUGGGCUUUGUUAUAUAGUACGUUAAAGCAUGGCAUAUCACUCCGGACACUUAUUCGCAAGAGUGCAGAUCUUUCCGGUCCCUGUUUGUUGAUUGUUGGUGAUAGACAAGGUGCUAUAUUUGGUGGUCUUCUAGAAUGUCCAUUGAAACCUACACCCAAGAGAAAAUAUCAGGGGACAAACCAGUCAUUUGUAUUUACAACUAUAUAUGGUGAACCAAGGCUAUUUAGACCAACUGGUGCCAACCGAUAUUAUUACAUGUGUUUGAACGACUUACUAGCACUUGGUGGCGGCUGCAACUUUGCUUUGUGCUUGGAUGGAGACCUGUUAAAUGGAACUAGUGGACCUUGUGAAACAUUUGGGAACUUAUGCCUGGCCCACGAACCAGAGUUUGUAUUAAAAAAUGUUGAGGUAAUCUAACUAUUCUUAACUGCCCCCUAAACUUGAAAAAAAAAAAUGCCUGGAUCAAAUGGUGCUUAAGCAGUUUUACUUCAUUUGUCUUAUUGGCUGUUACUCCAUCAUCAUCAGUCAUAUUCUUAUAUGAACUGUUAAUGCAUUAUGAUCUAUGGGUGAAUUAUUGAAGCAAUAGCUGCUGCAGUGUAUCAAAGCCAUCAUCCUUUUUUUGGUCAUCUUACUUUAUUCACCAAUGUAGUGCCUGUUACCUUUUGUUUGCAUGUGAUCCCAAUGGGAGUUGUUGGGAUUGUUCUUGCAAUAUCAUACCAUAUUGCCAUGAUGGAUGCUGUUGAUCCUGCCUGAAACUUUUAUUAAAGACACUAAUCAGAUUUCUAAAGACACAAUUCUAGACUACUGAAAUCACACUAGAGGAGCUCAUGCUGUUUGCUUUAUCAGCAAGUUGGUCUUAUUUUGUGGCUUUCAAGUAGGUGUUUUACUGCUCAAUCUGUGACAAGGACUUUAAGAUUUUUUUUUUUCUCCUUGGACAAUUAAGAAGAAACAAAGGUUUAAUCAGUAAUAAUGUUUAUGAAUCAAAGUCUGCUUUUAGACAUUGCUAGAGCAUAGUUGCAGUAGUAAAAUCCUAUUAUUGACAAGAAGGAUUCUCUCUCUCAUUUUGCCAUUCAAUAUCUGCCUUUAAGACUCUUCUCUCAAACAAGCGCCUACAUGAUGUACUCUUUUCAAAAUUUUGUUAUUUUCUAUAUCAGCGCAAGUCCUUGUGCCAGAAGUAUUUCUGUGUCUAGCAGAGUUAAACCUUCAAUUGCUGCAUGCUAUUCCCAAAUAUAUUGACCACAAAAGCUGAGAAGGUGAAUUAGGGUUUGUUUAGUUUAACUGUUGAAUACAGCUGAUAACUGUUAGCUGAUAGC
rnacentral:misc_RNA from 1 species